rnacentral:misc_RNA from 1 species
CUCUUCGGUCACACACGUGUGUGCUGCCCACUGCCAUUGAAAUUUGGCCUCCCCACAGACCCCCUCCCUCCCCCGACUCCACACCCAGAGCGUGCGCGCCACCGCACCCUUCACCUCCCUACCCUCUCGCUUCACGGGCCGCUGCACACGCGCACACACGGGCAGUGCCCUCAUCUUCUCCACCCCGGAUCUCACCGAUCCCACCACACCGACUUGCCCCUGCUCGCUCGCCUCGUCGCGGCGGCCGACGCCUUCCUUCUUGUCACCCGCGCAUCCGCUUCUGCACGGCCCCCGCCCGCCUCUCUCUCUUCACUUCGCGGGUGCCCUUCGCCACUGGCGGUGCACUCGUCAUCAUACGCAGCCGAAAAGUGAAGCCGGCGCUGCACACGUGUAGGCCCGCACGCGCGGAGCGAUCACGCCCGGCUUCACCCCCUUGUAUUUGGCCGGCACCGCAGCUUCUCAGCAGGCACACGCGCGCACACCCGCAUCUACGGCACGCAUUACGGUAGAUGUCAGGCAUUUGUGGUGCCGCGGCGACGGCGGCGGAGUUGAUGGCGCCGCCGAACAGUCCACCGGAGCGCGAGAUGACGGUUCCGAUGCAUGACAUAUCUGCAGACGUUGGGCUUCGCGCGGCAGCGCUUCCACGCAACAUCAGCAGCUGGGAACUUCUGGACGUCGAAUCGGACGGGGGCCCUGUAGACUUUUCGGGGUCGUCGCCAAUCCAGGCUGGGUGCCGGCCCACUUGCGCGGAGGUCGCCGUGGAUCACGGAGAUGGCGGAGGCCACGCUCUGCAGGCGUCGGCGGCAACCGAAGAGCCGAAGGCCACCCUUGGGGAGCCGCCCGUCGUACUUCUACAGUUGUUCGACACAGAGAGCCGCCACACCGCAGACGACACCUCGUCGGAGCACGCGCCAAGCGGCGCCCCCGCUCCAAACGGGCGUGACCAGCACCGCUCUGGUGUCGGCAAGUUAGCAGAGGCGCAUUACUCCCUCACCCGCAGCGUGUCAACAGUGUGGUCCCUCCUCUCCACUACCUCUCAGGCUCACCUACCAGUGGCUCACACCCGCCUGUGCCCGGUGCUGGGCACGACGACGACUGCCACCCCCAAAGACGCUUGCUGUCUCGGCAUCGCCGUCACUGAGACCACCUCUACUGGUCAGGCCGGCGCUCACGAGCAACACGAUGACAACAUCAACUCCUUGCACGCGAGCUCGGGGAUGGCAGGGACGUGGAGGGUGGAUUCCCUUCCGAGCUCGCUGCCGCUGGCGCCACAAAGCAUUGGCGUGUCGCACUCCUACGAGGCGGCCACGGAGCAGGCGAGCCAUGGCACCGGUGCGCCAAGCUCCGCGACGCCAAUGGGCGCCGCGACAAACGCUAUUCUCAUCCCUCGCGUCAUCAGUGUCGCUACGACGUCUCUGGCGAGCGACUGUGAGCCGUGCAUGGGCGAGUCCCGGCGGGCGGGUGUGUGGACGCCGAUCUUGGCGGAUACUGCCACGCUCAGCGAUCAGGCCGCGGUGACCUCGCUCGCAUCGACACUUCCAUCGCCUUCUCACGGCGCACCUGUGCUUUCAGAGGACAGUCUUCGACGGCUCGGUGAAGAGGUGUCAGCCAGGGAGGCGCAGGUGGCCGCUGCGGCGAUGGCGCUGGAAGGCCAGCUGGAGUUUGAUGGACCGUCAUCUAUGGCACCAUCGCCUUGCCCCAAUCCCUGGGCUAGCGCGGGACCGAGGUGCGCGUGCGAGCAGCCAGCAGAGCUGCUCGCGUGGUUGAUGAAGCCUUUGGCGUCGCUGUGCGACCACCGGCCGCAUCCUUGCACCUGCGAGGAGGAUAGGGAGGAAAGCGGUGCGGCGAACAUUUCGGAUACUGCUCUAGCUGGAAGCGCCUCCGCGCAGAGCAGGCAGCGCGAAGAGAGGAGAGCGGCGGCAUGGCUCUCGCGGCGCAUGUCCUUCAUCUCUUCGUCAUCCCUUGCCACAUCGCUGCUGCCCUCGGCUAUGGCCAACACCACCUUUCCUUCAGCGGCGUCGCCCGCCACUUCGGCUGCCUCGUCCUCCAUCUUCACGCUGGAGUCGUCGCUGCUUUGGUCGCAGGCCUGCAUCGUGUGCGCCGGCAGCUCGCAGCGCGCUCUCAAGGGGCUGCACCAGCUAUGCGACUAUGUGUGGCAGGACUUGAAGAACCACUGGUACCCGCAGCUACGUCUCGUGCUCGGCGAUCACUCGUCGGCGCGCAAGAUCCGCUACGGCCGUCACGCGCGCCGUCGUCUUAAGCCGAAGCGCACGCCAGGGAACGGCGAGAGCGCCACAGCGACCAGUGACACUCCUACGAAUACCACCACGGGAGUCUCUCCCGCCGCCUGUGGCGCUGCCGCCGCCUCCCCUGUAGGGACAAUGCGGUGUCGCAGCGUGUCGUCACCAUGCUUCUUCAACGGUGAUGUCCGCAUCACCAGCGACUCAGCCGCGCAUCCGUGCAUGUCGUGGAGGGAUAGAGCCGCGGCGGCAGCGACUCUCCAUCUCCAUGCCAGCAACAGCAACAGCACCAACAGCAGUGGUGCCAGCAGCCCACUGCCGGCUCAGUCCACCAAGGAGGGUAUGCGACUCUACGCGGUCAUGACCGCCGAGGCCGUCGCGUCAGCCGCGCAAGGUCUUCUGGUGUUCCUCCUGUGAGGACAGAGGCACAGGAGGGCCUCUCUCUCCGCGCGCGCGCUCUUCAUGUGUCUUUUCUACAAAAAGCCCACUGUACUACAUGUGAUGGUGGUGCUGACGGUGGCAGCGGCGGGAGGACGAAGAAGAAGAAGGGGCGGGGGACGCAUUGUUACGAACGUGCUGCCCUCGCCAUCAUUCGGCGUGUGUGUGGCGUGGUCGCCUCCACCUGCCGUGCCGGCUUCUUUCCUGUCGUGCCGUCUCUCGUGCCCUUCCCAUUUUUUGUUUCGCCUGCUUGAACAAUGUAUCCAUCUAUGAAGAUGGUGGCGCAUAGAAGCGCUGGCGUGUGUGUGCGCAUGUGUGUCUGUCUGUGUCGGGACUCAGUGCACGGAAAAACUAUAACCCCCCCCCACUGACCACCUCCUCUUCCCUUUUCUUUCUUUGGCUUUGUUUUGCGUCCACGGCGGUCGACUGCGUCCGACGCUGUGCCCGUUUAUUUCGCUCACCUUUCCUAUUUCGUUUUCUGCUGCUGCUGCUGCUGCUUCGCUACUGCUGCUGGCGUAUGUUGCUCGUUGCAGUUCUGGUUGCUGCUGGAGUUGUUGACGAGCCGUGUGCAUGCUGAACACGGUGCAUGUUGUGUGUUGUGCGUGUGUGCUGGCGACAUUGUCGUGCCAAGCGUACAUUCCUUUCCUUUGCGGUGCUUCUCUCCCCCCAUUUUCAUUUUUCGGUUUCGUCCUGCCGAACCAACGCCCUCGUCGCGAUGUGUCCGCUCUGCAGGAGCGCAUUUUUUCCCCUCCCCGCCCCGCCUCUCCGUUACACAUCUGCUGCCUUCUUCGCUUGUUGCUGAUGGUGGGGGAGGGGGCGACAUCUCCUCGCCCUCGUUGCGUACACAUGCUGCGUUGUGAGGGUGUGGGGCGUGGGAUGUGGAGUGUGAGGUAUGCGCCUCUUUCCGUUGAUGCAUAUACACAUAUGCAUAUAUCUUGUAUAUAUAUAUAUGUAUACGUGUAUACAUGCCAUCUGUGAUGAAGACGUGCCUUGGAGAGUGUAUGCCGACGACGAACUCGCGCGCGCCCUCUCCGUCUCCUCAUCCUUUUCUCCUCUGCUGCUCCUUCGCCACCAAGCGAGUGAGGGCACGAGUCCCCGCGGACGCCGUAUUAUUUCCUUCCUUUGUGUACACUUCUCAUUGACGCUCGCACGCAUUCCUCGCGGUACGGCGGUGCGACGCGGCCAGGGGUGGGGGUGGGGAGAUGUGGGGCCUUUCCUUCUGUCCCGUGCAAUGGAUAACCUUACUUUACCCGGGAGCGUUCCCUUUCGUUUCCGUUUUCGCUGCGGAUGGGCCUCAGUGACCGCACGGCCCCUCAUUUUCUCGCUCCUUCUUUCGGCCGUCCGCGCCAUCAUAGUAAGCCCCCCCGCCCAUCCAACCCCCCUUCAUAUCUCCACCCGGCGAGAUAAGAAGCGGGGGGGGGGUGGAGCCGCUCUCAGCAGUACGCAAACGCAGGCAUACACGCGUAUCUGUGUUCUUGAAUUUUACGCACUCCACUCCUGCCGGUAGAGCCUCGGUGUAAGCGGCACGAUCGCACGCACCACUUUCCCAGAAGUCGGGUCGACAGAGACGAAUAUGCCGACUCGCUUGAUGGCCUCGGCGUCACAUUACACACACACACAUACACACACCUUCCCUCUCUACUUCAUUUACGUUGCACAUGCGCUUGCUGCCGUGUGCCAUGCAUUUUGAUCAGCGUCUUCCGGCUUCUCUCAUGUGCCGUUGGCGCUUUUCUUUUUGUGUUGUCCACAUCAGCUCUAUAUUAUGUCGAGAGGUCUUUGCUUGUGGCCGUCCGCCUCUCUUUCAACUUCUCCGCGCCCCACAGUGCCCCCUCCCACCCUCAUCAGCGCCAGCAACUUCAAACCUGCCCUCUCCCCCUGCACUUCUCACGCGCACUUCCCAUUACCAAGUUUGUUCGUGUGUGUCUCUGUCUCGUCUUUCAUCGAUGUUUGUGUAUGUGCUUGCACGAGCGUGUGUGCGCCGGCGAGCAGUCCUCACCAUCCAUGCGCCGGCCCUCCCCCACUCUAUCACGUCUCGAUACGUCGGUUUUUCUCCUCCCUGCUCCCUCCUACCAGCUCUCUCUUUCUCUUCCCUCUUGCUCAGCUCUCUCAGUUCUUUUUUUUUUUCAAGGCGUGCUGCGCGUGCUGCGUUCUGUCCUCUUCAAAUCCACGUGGUGGUGGUGAUGCUCUCUUUCUCUGUUUCCUUCUUGCUGUUAGUCUUCCCGCUGUGUGUCCACCCAUAGCUGAUGAUGAUGAUGCCGCCGCUGCACGCCACGUGCGGUCGAGUCGUAUUCGAACGCAUGUCUGGUCUUUCUGUUUUCUCUCUUGCACAUGCCGGCUUGCAGCGCAUCUGCUGCCAUGAUUUUGUAUGCGCGUGCGUGUGUGUUGAGUGAGUGCGCAGGGCCACGCACCACCCUUCUCUCACGUGCUCUCCAGUUUUGCCCCUCCCUCGCUUUUUCCCCUGCUGCUGCUGCUGUUAUUGUUGGGACGUCUGCCGCAAUGGUCGGUUUCGCCGCUGUGCCCUCUCAGCGCGUAUAGAACAGAGAUGGCCGUGGCGGCGAGAGGAGAAGGGGAGGGAUGAGGGAGAGGGAGAUCCGCCCGCCCACACUCGGCUGUCCCUGCGUCUCCUCAUCCCCUCUCUCUUUCUCUCUGUGUUUGCGUGUGUGCUUGGCCUUCUCUAUCUCCGUCUGUCCAUGUGCUCUUCUCUUGCGUCCUUUCCAGCAGCGGCGUUUUUUGUUGCUUCUCAUGCCCUCUGAGCCCCUCCCCUCCCCCAUCAUCUUCUUCCUCUCUGACUGUCGAGGCGUCUGCGUCGCUGCACUCCAGCGGCAACGCCAUCAGCUCACGGGCGAAUGAGUGCAUCAACCCCCCAAAACGGACGCGAAACCGCAGACAGGCGCGACAACGCGCUGCACACAGACCAAGCGAGCACGGACGUGGAGAGGGGUCCUGUCAGCGAUGACGAGUGUGGGGGUGGUGCAUGUCUAUGUGUGUGUGUGUGUGCACAUCACACGUGACGGACGCGCUGAGGGACCUCACCCCUCCUCCCUCCGAGCACAUCACGCCUUUUCGCUCUUUGUGUUCGUGCGCUGGUCUCUGUCGUGGUGCCAUCCCUGUUGAUACGCCGCACUUGGUGGACGUGUUGAGCCGGCAACG